UACGUAGGUGGCAAGCGUUGUCCGGAUUUACUGGGCGUAAAGAGCGCGCAGGCGGUCGAGUAAGUCGAAUGUGAAAGCCCCCGGCUUAACUGGGGAGGGUCAUUCGAUACUGUUCGACUUGAAGGCAGGAGAGGGCAGCAGAAUUCCCGGUGUAGUGGUGAAAUGCGUAGAUAUCAGGAGGAAUACCAGUGGCGAAGGCGGCUGCCUGGCCUGUUCUUGACGCUGAGGCGCGAAAGCUGGGGGAGCAAACGGG
rnacentral:rRNA from 1 species